UGGGGAAUUUUGGACAAUGGGGGAAACCCUGAUCCAGCCAUCCCGCGUGUGCGAUGAAGGCCUUCGGGUUGUAAAGCACUUUUGGCAGGAAAGAAACGUCGCGGGUUAAUACCCCGCGAAACUGACGGUACCUGCAGAAUAAGCACCGGCUAACUACGUGCCAGCAGCCGCGGUAAUACGUAGGGUGCAAGCGUUAAUCGGAAUUACUGGGCGUAAAGCGUGCGCAGGCGGUUCGGAAAGAAAGAUGUGAAAUCCCAGAGCUUAACUUUGGAACUGCAUUUUUAACUACCGGGCUAGAGUGUGUCGGAGGGAGGUGGAAUUCCGCGUGUAGCAGUGAAAUGCGUUGAUGAGUGCAGGGAAGGAACACCGAUGGCGAAGGCAGCCUCCUGGGAUAACACUGACGCUCAUGCACG
rnacentral:rRNA from 1 species